ACCAAGUUUCCAGUUCAUGUAAACAUCCUACACUCAGCUGUAACACUUGAGUCGGCUGGGAGGUGGAUGUUUACUUCAGCUGACUUGGA
ensembl:miRNA MIR30B microRNA mir-30b